UCCUGGAAGGAGAGCAUAGUAAGUAGACAGUAUAAGAGUUAUAGGGCCUAUUUCUAAGCAAGCAAUAGAGGGCUGAAGGUGGGAGAACCAAUGAGAUGUUCUCAUGCAAAGCAGCAAGCACUGUUUGGGGGGGAAAAAAAUGCAAGGGUUAUACAACUGUCCUAGCCAAAAAAUAAAAAUGAACAAAUUGAGAAGUCAAUGGAGAGCGCACAGGAAAGUACUGGUCAAUAUUGGUUUAAGUUCUUCAUACCUCUCUACAGAAGCCACAAGAGAAAGCCAGAGAAUAGACCAAGCCCGACAGCUGCAAAUAGUUCAUUAGAAAGGUGUAAGAUGGACGAGAAAGCAUAGCUCUAAAAUAGAUCAGUAACUUUGGGCUUAGAAAGGUUGAGAACUUAAAAACUACUUUUUCUGUUAUACUAAAUUUAGUAUAAAGUUACUGCAAAGCUGCAUUCCAUACAUGCUAUUAAACUCCAUGUGUGAAAGGUAAAAUAAAGAUAGAAAGUUGCUGUAACCUAUACUUUCCACUUACUCUACAGAUGUAAUCUUCCUAAACUAGCUUUUCUGGCUUUUUAGAUUAGUCUGACUGAAUCCCUAGCGAUGUAGGAUUCACUUUUUCUCCCCUCCCUCUCAUGGAGGGACGGUCAACACCAGCUUGUGGAGUGUCGCAGGAGCACUCAUGGCAUGCCAAGUUCUUUUAAACAUGCUUAUAACUAUCUGCAGCCUCAGUCUGAGAUGCAUGAAUAUUAGUGCAGUUAGUUUUCUUUUACAGAGUAGCUUCUGAACUGCAAGGCUGAUCACAACCAUAUAUAAUAUCAUUGCGGUGGUGGCCAUCAUUGCGCACACACUCAUCCAGGGAGAGAUCUUAACCACUGUAUGAGAUUGCUUGUUCUCAUCUAAUACUCAGAAUUCAGUUUUGUGAUAAGGGGGAACAUAGGAGGGCCCUCCUCAAUCCUAGUUUUAAUUUUAGGCCAUUCAGCAUCAACAUUUUGCUCUUCAUCAUUAUUUAGGGAGCAUAAGAUGGGUGUUUGCUCUGGCCAGCAAAGGGUGGGUUACAAGAUAGUUCUGUAUGGUCUUUUCCACUGAAUGGAAUCAUUUCCAGAAUAUCUGGAGUAAGUCUUGAUAUUCAGUAAAAAUUCAGUAUUUUGUUACAAGACAAAAAUCUUUAAAAAAAAAAAAAAAAAAAAAAAACUGGGUUAAUAUUUGUGCAGUAUUAGCAGAACUUCAAUACUAGAAGUAAACUGAGACAAAGUUUAGUCUCACAUGUUCAAGCACUUUCCAACUUAGGAUGUGCGGACUUUAGAAAAUUAGAGAGAAUAUUUAGUUCAGCAUAUUUAGGAACACCUGUUGUAGAACUAUUCAAAUUUAAUCUGGUGAGCUUUAAAAUGGUUAACAGCCAGGUAAUUCCUAUUAGUUAGUACAAAUGUUAAGUUGCUACAAAUUACUUAAGGACUUCAGGAUCCUGACUCCUUGUUUUGUCAUACAACCUUUUUGUUUGGGUAUCACCUGUGGGAACUGACCCCCCAAAACAAUUAGCCUUUACUGCUUGAGCUGGAAGACCAAGUCUGUUUGCUUGAAGUCAGUAAGAGAGACAGGCCUCUGUAUGUAGUUUGGGGGGCAGGGGGGUUUACCCCAAUUUGGUUUCUACACAAUUGUUAGUAGCCAUUUCUUCAGUAAUUCUUUAGAGUUCACAGUAGCUAUUUAGAAAGGGAGGUGGGUAAACAGUUACACCAGCGACCAGACUAACCCAGUUAUUUCCUCUGUUCUAUUUUAUUUCAAGCCUUAAACGAGGAGUUGAAGAAAGCUAUGCUUCAAGUCAAUGGAUUCUUCCUGAAGCCUUCAGUAAUUUGAAGUCUGGGAUGGGGGAAGUACAGAACAUCCGCAUUUAGACUGUUUCAAUGCAGCUGGAGCUGUUUGACAAGCCCCGAUCAAGAAGCCGAACAGGACUUUGACUUCCUGGAGAUGCACCCCCUGGAUUCCACUUCAAGGCAUAGGCGUCAAGUCCACACCCGACCUUCCCCCGAAGUUCAGGGGACAUCUGGGGCCAGGCCCAGCGGUUCUGUAAAUUACGCUCCCAGGAAGCUGAACCGAGCUGUGCGCACACGGGCUCCUAGACCUCCACCCGGGGGUGGCCCUGUGUGACGGGGUAGUAGCGCUGCAGGGUUGCUUCAGGGUCCUCCCCCGCAGGAGCCGGGCGGGGAGGAAGGGGGCAUUCCGCGCGGGGCGCCCGGCUUGCCCAGCGGGGGAGAGGCGGCCGCUGGCCGGGGGGAGCCGUGGGGCAGGCGGGCAGCACAGCCAGCCUAAAAAUAGGAGCCGCCAUGAGCGAGCGAGCGCGCACUGGGGUCCCCGCAGCGGGGACCAGGCUAGGCCGAGCUCCGCUUCCUUCCUGCUCCGCGAGCCUCCGGCGGCAGCUCCCGCUCUGGGGGAGGGGCCGCUCUCCCGCUACCUGGCCCGAGCCAGGGGCCGCGCCAGCCCGGGGCCGUGCGGGCAGGGGUCUCAGCGCAGCCCCGGCCGCGGGAGACACCCCCGGGAGCCCUCCCGCAGCUCCGUCAGCGCCGCUCAGCCCCCGCGGGCGGCCGGGCCGGGCCUGGCAGGGCCGGGCUAGGCUGGGCCGGCUCGGGCAGGGCGCACUUACCAGCCAUGGUGCCGGUGGUGUUGGCCCCUCCGCCCGGGACAGAUGCUGCGGCCGCCGGCUACUCACAAGCCGCAACCGGAGCCGCCCUUUAUAUCGGGGCGGGCGGAGCCACGUGGGGCACGUACGCUGCCCGCAGCUAGGCAGCCUUUCGCUAGCGCUGGCGUGGGGGGACUCGCCGGUCUUGGGGCUCCCAGCACGGGGCGAGGAGCCGCCCGGGGUACCCCCGGGCACGGCGCCAGCUGGAUUAUCCCCCGUGCUAGGCCUGCCUGAGAACAGCCUUUCCUCGGGCUAAUUCCUUCCUUCCAGUGCCUGUAUCUGCUUUGCACGCACCCACCGCCCUGGUCUAGGUACCGUGUGCUAAGAGGCCAGUUCCUCCAUUCCUUUCCCAGGUGCUUUGUGCAGCCGGAAAGCUGCCCUGGCUGCCUCGCUGGGGAUUCACCUGGUGCUAGGGAAUUCUCCGACAUGCAGAUUGUUCCGCCACGUUCAUUGCUGGGGUAUCUGAAAGGGUUCCCGCCUGCUUUGCUGAAGGGGGCUGGCAUUGCCUCCUCUUCCUUUCCCACUGCUAGGAAGAGUUUUGUAGCCUUCCUAUGCGUUGCAGGGUUUGUAUGGGGUGCAAGACUCCCACCAAGAAUGUGACCCCAAACAGCUUCUAUUCUUUGCUUGGUUUCAGAGUAGCAGCCGUGUUAGUCUGUAUUCGCAAAAAGAAAAGGAGGACUUGUGGCACCUUAGAGAUUAACAAAUAAACGUGUUCGUCUCUAAGGUGCCACAAGUACUCCUAUUCUUUGCUUGUGCUUUUGGCCAGCCACAGGUUAUGUUCUGAUAAGUGACCCCGUGAAGUGAGUUUUUUGUAUUGUUCUUUCUCAACAACUUCCAGGUCCAAUUUGUUCACCUUACAAAUAAAAAUACAUGUUUUCUACCUCCUAGUGCUGCAAUCUCCACCUAGGAUCUGAGAGUCAGGCUGGAUUUUGCCUGUUGCCUGCAUCACUGCUGCUAAUAAAUAUUGGGCAAUCACAACUCCAUCCUAAAGGAUUCUGUUGAUGAUGCAUAUGAGAGAGAGAGAAUCCAGCUGCCUGUUCCAAAGUUUUGUUGGCUCUGCAGGGAUAACACAAAUAAAAUCUUGUUUGAUUCAGCAAGAUCUCCCUUGGACUCCUCCAAACUUGAAACCUUAUAAGAGUUAAAAUAGUGCAUUGAUUUAAGUUUUCUGUACACACUAAGCUUUUAAGUAAUAAAUGUUCAAACUAUUUAUUUGGUCUUUGUAUGUUCACAACUAUUCACUUCAGUCCACCACAGCUUAUUUUCUAUGGGCAAGAUUCUUAUUCGCACCCAUGUAAAAUGUGUAGUCAUUCCAGUGAUAUCACUGGAGUUUUACACUGAUAUAAAUCUAGAUCUAGAGUAACUCCCUUGAUUU